rnacentral:lncRNA from 1 species
UCUGGAUAGACUGACACACAGAUCGCUUCCUUUGGGAUAGAUGGAUCUAUAGUCUAUAAUAUAGAGAUACUAGGUGAUAAGUGCGGAUAAUUGUUAGAGAACAACUAGUAUUGAGCGUGACCAUAUAAGAGAUCACUUGAAUUUUUAUUCAAUCAUCAGUGAUUGUCUCGAUACUGUAGUUGUGUGAACGGUCUUUUGAUCUGAGAUUGUACUACUAUUCGUGGUGAGGCUGUUGGAGUUUGAUUGACACAUAAACAUGGAUCUCAAUGAGCCCUUGUAGUGGAUGUUGGUGAUAGUUGGUCCACUGUAGGAGUAGGAUGUGCAUCAAGAUGGGAUCUAUCAACCUUGAUAGAGAGGAGUAAUCCUAUGAGAUUUGAAAGGCUAAGUCCAAAAAUCUAUGGCUAUAGUAGUGUAAUUGAUGGAAAUAAGUUUUCAUAGAAAUCAUAAUUGGACUUAAACUGAUCGAAUCUAUCAUAUGACUGAUAUUGAAGUUUGAUGAUUUAUUCAUGAUCUGUCAUCUAGUCAGACUCAUGAUAAAGGAACUGAAUCACACAUUAACUACACCUAGAGGUUCACUUCAGUUCUACUGGGUUGCCACUACAUACUACUGGUGUCACUGAUGGAUUAUGAGAGCUCACUAGGGUUAUUCUGGAUCGACAAUCCUUGAUGAGUUAGAGUUGAAAAAAAUUUUAAUGAUACUUUGAUAGAUAUCAUUAUAUAUCUCACUACCAGAUAAAAUUGAACCUAUCGGAUCACACAACAAAGAAAUUAGUCUUGAAAUUAGCAAUUGAGCUUAUGAAGUAUCAAUUGGAUUUAGAGAAAUCUGAUUGGGUUCAAGAUAACCUUGCUAGCACAUGGUUGGAUCCAAUUUCUCUUUCCGUUUGCUAGCACAUGGUAGCACAUGAUUGGGUCAAACAUUCUUAUUUAAAUCCUAGUCUAAUUAAGAAUUGAGUCAAACUCAAAUCCUAAUUCAAUUAGGAAUCAAUCUCCCAUGCAAUUUGGUUAUCUCAUAAUCCAAUUAGGUUUGAUCAAAUCAAAUCUAUAUCAAGUCAAAUUAAAUCUAAUUUAAUUAGACUUGAUGCAAGCUCCAUUGCUCAAUCAAAUUAAGCUAAUUAGCAAUCCAUUUGCUAAUUAAUCCUCCUAUAACUCACUAACUGUUUAGCGAGUUACUUAAUGCAACUUUUGCAUUGGAUCAAUCAUUAAUCAAAUUGAUAAUCAAAUCCUGUUACGAUUCAUAAUUGUAAUUCCACCAUUUGAUCAGUCAAAAGUCUCUUUGUGUGUGACCCCAUAGGCUCUAUUCUGUUUGGUAGUGAGAUGUAUUAUGAUCCUUAUCACAAUAUCAUUAAAACUCUUUUCAAUAGAUUGGAACCGUUCCAACUCUGCCCACCAAGGAUCAUUGAUCACCAAGAUGAUGCUUGUGGGUCUCACAAUCUAUCAAUAGCACCUAGCAGUAUGUAGUGGCAAUCCAACAAAAUAAAAAGUGAUGAACCUCUAGGUACAGUUAACGUAUAAUACAGUCCCUCUAUCAUGAGUCC